rnacentral:tRNA from 1 species
GUGGGUGUAGCUCAGGUGGUAGAGCACCAGGUUGUGGCCCUGGGGGUCGCGGGUUCAAGCCCCGUCACUCACC